rnacentral:lncRNA from 10 species
CUCAUUCUUCUCCUUCCUGCCACCAUGUGAAGAAGGACGUGUUUGCUUCCCCUUCUACCAUUAUUGUAAGUUUCCUGAGGCUUCCCCAGCCCUGCAGAACUGUUCUUCUUCUGCUGUUACACAACGAAUCCUCUCAAUCCAACCUACUGGGUUCCACCCACACUCAUGCACCUCCUAUUGAAGACAAGUUGUGUGCUGUUAUGCUACUGUGACUUUCGGCAGGCCAUCCUUUUUAUCCCUCCCAGCCUUUUUCCUCUUGAGGAAUUACUAAUUAUCAUAAAAGUCAAUUGUCACCUGUCCUAGAAAGCCUUGUCCAACCACCCCAUAUGCUCUCCUCUACUAUUAUUACUUUGUGUUAGAUUUCUAUUAUAUCAGGCAUAAACACUACAUGAAUUAUUUAUCUUUUCACCAAAUAAAAUAUGAAGUUCAUGAA